rnacentral:rRNA from 1 species
AGAGUUUGAUCCUGGCUCAGGACAAACGCUGGCGGCGUGCCUAACACAUGCAAGUCGCACGGGGUUCCUGGCUUCGGCUGGGGAUCGAGUGGCGGACGGGUGAGUAACACGUGGAUGACGUAUCCUCGUGUGGGGGAUACCCUCCAGAAAUGGGGGUUAAUACCGCAUACGAUCUGGCUGGUAGAGCGGUCAGAGGAAAGUUGUGGGGUCAAAGCCCACGGCGCAGGGGGAGCGGUCUGCGACCGAUUAGCUAGUUGGUGGGGUAAGAGCCUACCAAGGCUGCGAUCGGUAGCUGGUCUGAGAGGAUGAUCAGCCACACUGGGAUUGAGGACGGCCCAGACUCCUACGGGGGGCAGCAGUGAGGGAUCUUCGUCAAUGGGGGCAACCCUGAACGAGCAACGCCGCGUGUGGGAAGACGGCCUUCGGGUUGUAAACCACUUUUCUCGGGGACGAGACAGGACGGUACCCGAGGAAGAAGUCUCGGCUAACUACGUGCCAGCCGCCGCGGUAAUAC